rnacentral:rRNA from 1 species
AGUAACACGUGGGUAACCUGCCUGUAAGACUGGGAUAACUCCGGGAAACCGGGGCUAAUACCGGAUGGUUGUUUGAACCGCAUGGUUMAAACAUAAAAGGUGGCUUYGGCUACCACUUACAGAUGGACCCGCGGCGCAUUAGCUAGUUGGUGAGGUAACGGCUCACCAAGGCAACGAUGCGUAGCCGACCUGAGAGGGUGAUCGGCCACACUGGGACUGAGACACGGCCCAGACUCUACGGGAGGCAGCAGUAGGGAAUCUUCCGCAAUGGACGAAAGUCUGACGGAGCAACGCCGCGUGAGUGAUGAAGGUUUUCGGAYCGUAAAGCUCUGUUGUUAGGGAAGAACAAGUACCGUUCGAAUAGGGSGUACCUUGACGGUACCUAACCAGAAAGCCACGGCUAACUACGUGCCAGCAGCCGCGGUAAUACGUAGGUGGCAAGCGUUGUCCGGAAUUAUUGGGCGUAAAGGGCUCGCAGGCGGUUUCUUAAGUCUGAUGUGAAAGCCCCCGGCUCAACCGGGGAGGGUCAUUGGAAACUGGGGAACUUGAGUGCAGAAGAGGAGAGUGGAAUUCCACGUGUAGCGGUGAAAUGCGUAGAGAUGUGGAGGAACACCAGUGGCGAAGGCGACUCUCUGGUCUGUAACUGACGCUGAGGAGCGAAAGCGUGGGGAGCGAACAGGAUUAGAUACCCUGGUAGUCCACGCCGUAAACGAUGAGUGCUAAGUGUUAGGGGGUUUCCGCCCCUUAGUGCUGCACKAACGCAUUAAGCACUCCGCCUGGGG